AGGAUUCUCCUGCCUCAGCCUCCCAAGUAGCUGGGAUUACAGUUUCCAUCAUUAUCUUCUAUGGAGUUCUUCAUUCCCACAUCUGUGGACCUUAAAAUCCUACCGUUGAGUGCCUGCCUUGGAUCAGCAGUCAGUUCGUUACCUUGGUUCUCAGACGAUGCUUGCAACAACGCCAUGCGAUUCGCCCACUCUUGGAGAAAAUAAGAGAAGUAUCCCUGAAGGAUGAAAUAUCCUCGAAUAUGAAAAGGUCUGCUCUCUGAAGACCAACUGUCUCAGUCUGCUUUUUGCUGCUGUAACAGAAUACCACAGACUUGGCAGAGAAGCCUUCAGAGAAGGAUCCUGACUCGGUGGUUUGUGCAGUGACAUUUGGCAGUGUUUUCUCGGCAAGCGAGUCUUUGAGGCUGCCCUCAUGCUGCUCAGUGGGCACACCAAGAACAAGAGCUGGCCAGGGAUGACGGACGCAUCUAGGCCUUCUCGGCCUAAGG
rnacentral:lncRNA from 1 species